AGUUUUAGGAUUAUGCUCCGCCAGCAAUUCUGGAUUGCCAUAUGGCUAUGCCAUGUGCCGUGUUGAAGUGUCACCACUCACCACCAUUUUAAGUGGUGAACUAUAUGAAUCUACCCUUCUGGGUGGUGAUGCAUGAUGCAUCUUUUUGGUUUCACUAGUGCUAAUGGUUUAGCAAAUCCACAUCUCAGUCUCAUCCGUUUAUAGAUUGUCAGAUUCUAGUUUUUUUUUUUUCAAAUGUUAUUUUUGUUUUUCUUUUAACUGUUGUUGUCAUUUUGUGGUGGAGCUUUUUCUGUUUUUGAAUUGUUGGUAGUGCUUUGAACUCGGAUACUGUUUCAUUUUCAUUUCUCUAACAAUGUUUCUUAUCAGGUAUGAAAAUACUGUGUAUUUUCUUUUUAAUAUAAUUGUGCAUGUUUCUGAAUGGAGCUUGCACUGGUUGGUAUGAGGUGGUUUUGGUUUGGCCUCGAAAAAGGCGGGACUGGGGUUUUUUGCUUCUUUUACAAAUACAUUUUCUUUUGGCAACAUGUAUCCAAUCACCAGUGUAGUAUCUAACAUGCAUUUGAAUUUUUGGCUGGAAAAUUUUCUUCCUCCAACUUUGCACGCUGAGUAAUCGACCUCAGUCCGAGCUCUCCAGUUAGGCAGCAAUGUAGCAGUUUGUCCUCCACGCUUGAUUAAGAAACACAUCAUUUGCAGUUUAUCUUUCAAAAGAAUAGAGCGAGCCAAAAGACUUCCUGGUGACCCAUGGGCUGAGUUAUGUCUAUUACUAACAGAGUGAGCCAAAAGACCUCAAGUAGCCCAAAGGCCUAAUGACUAGGCACAUCCAAGCCUACCAUUCUUGGAUAUGUACUUCUCAUAAUCCAAGCACAUAAAAAGAGCCUGCGGCUGGCAUUGCCAUGCGAGAAGUCGUCGUGUGUGAAAGGUGGCCAAGCUCUAUUGUUUUACAGUGGAAUCUUCUUAAUGGCGUUGGGAGUGGGCGGGAUUCGAGGGACACUUCCACUCUAGGUGCAGAUCAGUUUAACCAGAAGGAUUCCAAGGAGCUUUUUUUUUCUCUCGAUAGUAGGCACAUUUUUUAAAGAAAGCUCAUGGUCUGUCUUCUCUCUCUGAAAGGUUCUUUGAUGGGCAGGUGAAUUUGAAUUUCCUUGGAGUUUUAUUCUCUCUGUCAUUUUGGGGUAGGUGACUUUGAUUUGUGCAAAAUGUGGUUAUUGAAAGUGUCUUUCAUGCAACCAAUGGAUAAUCUAGUGGAAAUUAUUUGCAUCGAUUUGGAGGUGGUUUGGCAGCUUGGAUUUUGGCAAUUUUGGUGCUUUUGAAGGAAACAAAUAUUCGCAUGCUUCCCCUUCUGCAAGAAUAAUAGAGGGUGGUUAUGCUCGGCGGCUUCUACAAGUAAAGUUAUUUUCUUGUAUUUCUUUGUACUUCACCGUUUAGCAUAUAGAUUGUGGAACGACAAUAUGUUUACUUAGCAGCAACCAUGUCUGAACAAAUGUAUUAUUAAUAUUAUCAUCGUUAUUAUUUGUUUCUUUAUUGCUUUCUCAUAAUUCAAUGCUUCAGUUUCAGCAUAUCAUAUAAUGUCAAAUGUUAAAAUGUCUCUUCAUCCACAUUAACUUUCUCUUCUUUAACAAUCCUACAGCACAUUCAUGUAAUUUUUAUAUGUACUUUGUAAUUGUGGGUGUUAUAUCCGUAUCCAUGGCCAUGAUAUGUUAUUAGUGUUAUAUCAAGCAACCUUGGAGGCUAUGAAGGUUCUGCUUGCUAUAGGUGUAAAUGUGGAAAAGGAUGAAUUUUGUGUUGUACAUUUGACUUAAUUACAAAUUUAAAUUCAUGUUUUCAGCUAGAAAAAGGUGUAGAUGGGCUAUUUGAUAGUUUUGCUAGAUUGGAUUCACGUGUCUCUAGCGUGGGACUGACGAUGCAA